rnacentral:rRNA from 1 species
GUCCGCACUGUAAACGAUGAUUACUCGCUGCUAGAGGGCAACUUUUAGUGGCUUAGCGAAAGCGAUAAGUAAUCCACCUGGGGAGUACGCCGGCAACGGUGAAACUCAAAAGGAAUUGACGGGGGCCCGCACAAGCGGAGGAGCAUGUGGUUUAAUUCGAUGAUACGCGAGGAACCUUACCAGGGCUUGAAAGUUAGGGAAUGGAUCUGAAAGGAUUCAGUCAGCAAUGACCCGAAAACUAGGUGCUGCAUGGCUGUCGU